rnacentral:rRNA from 1 species
AUUGAACGCUGGCGGCAUGCUUUACACAUGCAAGUCGAACGGCAGCGCGGGCUUCGGCCUUGCGGCUAGUGGCGAACGGGUGAGUAAUGCAUCGGAACGUGCCCAGCAGUGGGGGAUAGCCCGGCGAAAGCCGGAUUAAUACCGCAUACGACCUGAGGGUGAAAGCGGGGGACCGAAAGGCCUCGCGCUAUGGGAGCGGCCGAUGUCGGAUUAGCUAGUUGGUGGGGGAAAGGCUUACCAAGGCGACGAUCCGUAGCUUGUCUGAGAGGACGACCAGCCACACUGGGACUGAGACACGGCCCAGACUCCUACGGGAGGCAGCAGUGGGGAAUUUUGGACAGUGGGGACAACCCUGAUCCAGCCAUGCCGCGUGCGGGAGGAAGGCCUUCGGGUUGUAAACCGCUUUUGUUCGGGAAGAAAUCCUCUGGGAUAAUACCCCGGGGGGAUGACGGUACCGGACGAAUAAGCACCGGCUAACUACGUG